CGGAAGCAGCGGCGGCGUGACAAAGAAAAGAAGGAAGCGGCGGCGUGGUCCUCUGCAUCAUCGGUCGUCUUCUCCUGAACAUCUGCCCAUCUCGCUUCACCAGUCCACGCCCGCAGCAAGCGGCACGCCAAGGCAGCCUUGAUCCUUCUUUCUUGUGGCCAAGGGGGGGAAUCCAUGCCGGGGAGCAACAUGCACCAAUGAAGUUCCUACAGAGCAGAGCACGGAGACCAUGGUGGCCGUCACGGUCGCCGUGACCGCUGGCGCCGGAUUUCUUCCUCCGGCAGCAAAAAAAAGGUUCGCGCGCGCCAACUCCUACAGAUAGUGUGCGGGUUCUUUGGAUCGAGUACAGAGUUGGGAAAUUUGUUGUGGAUUUUGUGAGAUUGAUAUACCUGAGGCGUGGCCAUAUGCGUCUUUGAUUAUCCAUGAAGCUGCUCAAUAUAGAUGUGUUUUUUUGUCUGGAUACAUGCACCAGUUCCGCUCAGCACUGAUUCAUAUACUUUCGAGAAGAAGCUAGCUUUGAUGGAUUUAGGUGUGAUUUAUCUAGAAAAGGAAAACUGUACGAGGCAAGCCAAUGGCAAGAAAGACAAACAGGAUGAUGCCGGACUGUUGGAAGCUGACAUGCUGGAUCCAUGGUGGGCUGGUGCUUUGCAGAUGAAUCGACUAAGGCUCCGCUUGGAAUGGGUGUAAACUUUUACACCUGUAUUUAUUUUACACAUGUAAAAUACCGGUCACAGCUAAUUUUCUGCUUGGAAACAAAACGACCAGUCCAGGUCUGUAUUCUAAA